rnacentral:rRNA from 1 species
UACAGAGGGUGCAAGCGUUGUUCGGAAUUAUUGGGCGUAAAGGGCGCGUAGGCGGUCGGAUAAGUCUUGUGUGAAAUCUUCGGGCUCAACUCGAAGUCUGCACAGGAAACUAUCUGGCUUGAGUGUGGGAGAGGUGAGUGGAAUUCCUGGUGUAGCGGUGAAAUGCGUAGAUAUCAGGAGGAACACCUGUGGCGAAAGCGGCUCACUGGACCACAACUGACGCUGAGGCGCGAAAGCUAGGGGAGCAAACAGG